rnacentral:rRNA from 1 species
GACGAACCGUCCAAACGUUGUUCGGAAUCACUGGGCUUAAAGGGCGCGUAGGCGGCCUACUAAGUCGGACGUGAAAUCCCUCGGCUCAACCGAGGAACUGCGUCCGAUACUGGCAGGCUGGAAUCCGGGAGAGGGAUGUGGAAUUCCAGGUGUAGCGGUGAAAUGCGUAGAUAUCUGGAGGAACACCGGUGGCGAAGGCGGCAUCCUGGACCGGUAUUGACGCUGAGGCGCGAAAGCUAGGGGAGCGAACGGG